UAUCCACCACGUUUAUUCUUCUGCUCCUCCAUCAGGUGCUCCACUGACAAGAUCUCAUCCCGGACAUGCCACAGGGGCACGGGGAGAGGCAAGAGGUCAGACCCUCCCAGCUUCCCCUCUAGUUCUGCCCCCAGGAUGCCAGGAGGAGGAAGAGGCGCCCAACAGCACCUGGAGCGCUAGUGAGGGCUGGGGGGCGGGGUCUGGACAGAGAGCUGGAGUUUCCCACUCUGACUGUCUCAGAAAGAACCCGGCUGAGACCAGAGAAACAUCUUCCUCUGAGUUGAGAGACGUGGUGGGGAGUGGAUGAUCCCUCCUUUUCUGGACCCUCUAAUCCACAGGACCCCUGAGCAUUACCAAUAUGAGAGAAUGGGGCCUGUGUUUGGGGGCACUAAAGGGCUUUAAAGCAGCCCCACCCCACCCCAUGCUGGCCUGGCCCGGUUGCCAUGGCGAUGCCCCAGUUGCUCCAGAGGCAGCUGCUGGUUCUUGAAGUGGGGGUGGUGGGGACAGUGGAUCCUUGAGCUGAGGUGGGUUGGGGUGAGAGGUCAGUGUUGUCUGGGAACAUUCUUGACCAUGGCAGGAGCUGAAAGCCCAAGGUUCGUCUCACUCCUGCUUCUGUCAGUGCAGGCCCCUCUCCACCAGCUCCCCUCACCUCCAGGCUCCACGCCCUCUGCUGCCCCCGAGAGGGGCUGUCUCCCAGGCUUGGGGCAGACAAACCCUAAACAUGACAUGGCCUCCGUGGAGGCUCAGAGGCAAGGACCCCAACGUGAGGACUCAGUGGGGGCUCAGUGAGGAUCAGUGCUGGUCUCUCCAGGCAGUGGAGCUGCGGUACUGAAAGCAGUUGUUGAAGUACUCAUCUUGAGAUGGAUAGCUUUUGAAGGUAUACAUUUAAAGGAAUCAAAGGUCAAUGCCGUUCCUCGAGAUUUCUCUUAACCCCUCUGAGGUUGCGUUUUCUUGUUCAUAAAAGAGCGUCUAGCUUGUAGAGUCGUGGUGAGGAUUAAGUGAGAAAAUGAGUUAAAGUUAACACAGGAUGUGCUCAAUAAAUAGUAGCUUUUAAAAAAAAAGUGUGCUUAGAAACAGAAGAGAGGAAACGAAGCAGGAACACCAGUGAGUGGGCAGAGGCGGGCCAGCCCGCUGCUGUGGUCUGCCCCGGAGGCAGGAGCGGUCAACUCUUCUCACCGAGGAAGACCAGGCUGCACAGGGAGAAGCUCCUGGGGCCCCAAGGAGGUGGCGACCACUGGUGAAACCAGUAUGCAACUCAGUGUCCACCCUCCCCGCACUUCUCAGCAGGGCUCCCAGCAACCCUUCACAGAGGUCCCAAUGCUACCAGCUCCUGCAGCGCCCCCCAGAAGUGACCCACGUCUGGCCUCAUCCCUAUUUCCACCAGAUGCACAUCUGCACUGAUCCUGAGUCCCAGCAGAGGCCUUGACCUCCUGCAGGUGGAAGACAAACGAGGAAGCCAACCAGUACUGGGGAGCUGAGGUUGGGUACCGGCCUCCAAGGAAACAGCGCUGAAACUGGAGGCCCGGAGACUCUGGGCCCGUGGUGGGCGGGGCCCAGCCUGCCUCGAGUUCUCCUGCCGCCCUGCCUCAGACCAGAGCAGGCCAGAUAUCUGACCCCAGCGGUCCUCCCGUCUGUCCUCAGGCUUGAUCCCCCCUACUAUACAUACAUGCCCUUCUCACCCCCUGAGCCAGCUGGCCCACGGCCAGCUCUGAUCUGGGCUCAGCCCAGACCUGCCUCCCUUGGGGCCUCGUUCUGGUCAGGGAAAAAACAGCUGCUCCAGACCCUGUUUCGUAGAGAUGGCUUUUCAAACUAGAAUCUUUUCUCACAAGCCUCUUGGGAUUUAACUCACCGUGUGGUUUCCUGAAACCCUUUCUGGAUCUCGAUGGGCAAAAUACAACAUCCAUAAAUAUA